GAUGAACGCUGGCGGCGUGCUUAACACAUGCAAGUCGAACGGAAAGGCCCAAGCUUGCUUGGGUCCUCGAGUGGCGAACGGGUGAGUAACACGUGGGUGAUCUGCCCUGCACUUCGGGAUAAGCCUGGGAAACUGGGUCUAAUACCGGAUAGGACGAUGGUUUGGAUGCCAUUGUGGAAAGUUUUUUCGGUGUGGGAUGAGCUCGCGGCCUAUCAGCUUGUUGGUGGGGUAAUGGCCUACCAAGGCGUCGACGGGUAGCCGGCCUGAGAGGGUGUACGACCACAUUGGGACUGAGAUACGGCCCAGACUCCUACGGGAGGCAGCAGUGGGGAAUAUUGCACAAUGGGCGCAAGCCUGAUGCAGCGACGCCGCGUGGGGGAUGACGGCCUUCGGGUUGUAAACUCCUUUCGCUAGGGACGAAGCGUUUUUGUGACGGUACCUGGAGAAGAAGCACCGGCUAACUACGUG
rnacentral:rRNA from 1 species